UUUUAAAGUUUAGAGGUGAUUUAUUUUGUAGAAUGUCUCUCAAUUUGGGUUUGACUAAUCUUUUCUCAUGAUGAAAUUCAGAUUAUGCAUUUUAGGCA